CCCUGCUCAGUCUCGGCUGGGAGGUGGACCGGACGACUGGCAACGGGUGGUGGUCUGACGACCCGAACAGCGGCACAGCGGGCACGGCGGGUCAGCCCAGUCGGGCCACACACAGCAGCCGCGUGGACGCUAACUCCACCAUCAGCCGGCGCCUCCAACGGCGGGUCUCCCUCCGCGCUCAUCCCCCGGCUGCGCCCGACCUGCCUGACCUGCCUGACCUGACCUGACCCGACCUGACCUGACCGCUGACCUGACCUGACCGCUGACCCAGCACCACACCAUCGUCAUGCCGCCCCACGAGGAAGCCCACAACGCCGCCUUCGAGCCGGAGGAGGGCGCAUCGUCUCCCCCCGCCGCGUCAGAGGUCGCCGACCGCUCACCAGAGGUCGCUGACAGCCCGGCAGAGGUCGCCAGCAAGAAGCCCGAUCCGAUGUCUCUUGAGGAGGCUCAGAACCAUGUGGCUACCUCAGCUGGUAAAUUCGAGCGUCGCGAGCGCUGGAAGAUUCUCAAGAACGUGGUGGCGAUCUCAUUUGCCUUCAUGUGCCUCUUCACAUCGUUCCAAGGAAUCUCGAAUCUCCAAAGCUCCAUCAACUCAGAAGGAGGCGUGGGCACCAUGAGUCAGGCGGCCGUAUAUCUGGCUCUGAUCCUGUCCUGUCUGUUCCUUCCCUCGCUGGUCAUCAAACGGUUGACCUGCAAGUGGACGAUGGUGGUGUGCACGCUGCUCUACUCGGUCUACCUGGCUGCCCAGUUCUACCCGCGACCCUUCACCAUGAUUCCGGGCGCGAUCGUGCUCGGACUGGCCGCCGCUCCCAUGUGGUCGGCCAAGUGCACCUACCUCACACAGGUUGGGCGGAUUCACGCUGAAAUCAUCGGGGAGGACUCUGAGCCUGUUAUCGUCAAGUUCUUUGGCAUUUUCUUCUUGUUCUUCCAAUCGGCGCAGAUCUGGGGCAACUUGAUCUCAUCACUCGUUUUGUCCCCGGGCGGCAAGCAGCUGGAGGCCGUCCCGUCGGAGGAGAGUCUGACCAUCUGUGGCAUCAACUACUGUCCCGGGAUCGAGUCGGCGUCCAACAACACGAACCUGGAGCGUCCCCCGGAGAGCCAGAUCUACACGAUGGCCGGCAUCUUCCUGGCGCUGGCCGUCGCAUGCAGUGGCUUCAUCGCCCUCACCCUCGACAAGCUGGACAGGUACGGUGAGAAGGAGCGCGCCUCGGCCGACACGCCGCCGCUGCAGCUCCUGCUGGCCACCUUCACCCACAUGAAGAAGCCCUACCAGCUGCUCGUCAUCCCGCUCACCAUGUGGUCCGGCUUUGAGCAGGCCUUCAUCAUGGCCGACUUCAGCAAGGCGUUCGUGUCGUGCGCGUGGGGCAUCCACCGUGUGGGUCUGGUGUUCAUCGUGUACGGCAUCGUCGACUCCAUCUGCUCAUUCAGCUUCGGCUUCAUCAUCAAGCGCGUGGGCCGCGUGCCGCUGUUCCUGGUGGCCGCGGCGCUCAACUACGGCGCACUGGCGGCCUUCCACCACUGGCUGCCGCGGCCCGACGAGGCAGUCGGGUUCUUCCUGGUGGCGGCCGCCUGGGGCGCCGCUGACGCCGUCUGGCAGACCCAGAUCAACGCCCUGUACGGGGUCAUCUUCCCGGAGACGGCCGAGGCGGCCUUCAGCAACUACCGGCUCUGGGAGUCGCUCGGAUACGCCAUCGCCUUCAUCAACGCCGAGCUGCUGUGUCUGAGGCACAAGGUGGACCUGCUGAUCGCAGUGCUGACCGUCGGCAUGAUUGGCUACCUGGUCAUCGAGCUGCUGGAACGGCGCCGCGCCCGCGGAUCGCUCAAAGUCAGCAAAGAGUAGGGCGGACACGGUGACAGAGUGUAACGAGUGGCACGGGGUGGAGAUAACUAUUUUUUUAUAGUGCCAGGAACCUAGCAUAAUGAGUAAAAUACAAAGAAUAACUAUUCUUGUGACAAAGUAAAAAAUUGCAACAAUUUGUUUCUGAGGUAGAGGUAUGUACUUUGUUAUGUAACAAAUCGAUGUUAAAGCCAUUAAUUAAGAGGGAAAAACGAGACGAGCAUAGAGUGUUAGAUCAAAAACGAUUAGCAUGAUUUAGCAUAGAGAAUCACAAACAAAAUAUUAAUAGACAUACGGAUAGCAUGCUCAUUGUCUCGUUUGUUUCAAGUGAGUUCGGCACACCUAGUGUAAAAGCAAUAGGUAAAAGGUAAAGGUUACCUAGUAUGGAAAUGAACGAUGGAGUCUUGCAUUCGUAAACGUUAGGUAUAUGAAGCGAGCAUUCGGCAGAAUGCCAUGGUUCUUUCAAAGCAUGCCUAACAUUGGACUGCUCAAUGGAGACCGCAAUACCCAUGGACAUGCACUGUUGACGCUCAUAUCGAGUUCAUGUGUUGUAAAUAAUAAAUAUGUAAACUUGUG
rnacentral:misc_RNA from 1 species